rnacentral:rRNA from 1 species
UACGGGAGGCAGCAGUGGGGAAUAUUGCACAAUGGGCGAAAGCCUGAUGCAGCUAUGCCGCGUGUAUGAAGAAGGCCUUAGGGUUGUAAAGUACUUUCAUCGGGGAGGAAAAAACAAAACUAAUAAUUUUAUUUUUGACGUUACCCGAAAAAGAAGCACCGGCUAACUCCGUGCCAGCAGCCGCGGUAAUACGGAGGGUGCUAGCGUUAAUCAGAAUUACUGGGCGUAAAGAGCACGUAGGUGGUUUUUUUAAGUUCAGAUGUGAAAUCCCUGGGCUUAACCUAGGAACUGCAUUUUGAAACUGAAAUACUAGAGUAUCGUAGAGGGAGGUAGAAUUCUAGGUGUAGCGGUGAAAUGCGUAGAUAUCUGGAGGAAUACCUGUGGCGAAAGCGGCCUCCUAAACGAAUACUGACACUGAGGGUGCGAAAGCGUGGGGAGCAAACAGGGAUUAGAUACC